rnacentral:rRNA from 1 species
UCGAGAAUUUUUCUCAAUGGGCGAAAGCCUGAAGGAGCGACGCCGCGUGGGGGAUGAAUGGCUUCGGCCCGUAAACCCCUGUCAUUUGCGAUCAAACCACGUUAUUUAAAAGAUGACGUGCUGAUAGUAGCGAAAGAGGAAGGGACGGCUAACUCUGUGCCAGCAGCCGCGGUAAUACAGAGGUCCCAAGCGUUGUUCGGAUUCACUGGGCGUAAAGGGUGCGUAGGCGGCCGGGUAAGUCUGCUGUGAAAUCCCGCAGCUCAACUGCGGAACUGCAUUGGAUACUAUCCGGCUCGAGGAAUGGAGGGGAGACUGGAAUUCUCGGUGUAGCAGUGAAAUGCGUAGAUAUCGAGAGGAACACCAGUGGCGAAGGCGAGUCUCUGGACAUUUCCUGACGCUGAGGCACGAAAGCCAGGGGAGCAAACGGG